rnacentral:lncRNA from 1 species
AUAUGUCAGGUGUUCACCAACCUCUGUUUCCUCCCUUUGGGCAGCUGAUCAGGGAUAAUGACCUAUAUCCUUGAAGCAUUUGUUUUAUUUAGCAUUAUGGAGAAGGAGGGUUUAAGGCAACAAGCAACCUAAUUAUAUAACCUUUCCCACCCUAUCUUAUUACAGAGAGAUCACCUUGCAUCUUCACCUGUGGAAACACAGCAGCUCAACUCUUUGAAUGUCCAUGACUUCAUCUGGUUCUUUCCUGCUCUGCUUUUGUCCUAAGCAGAAUGGUUCCAACUUUGUUCAGAUAAGAUCUUUCGCUCAUUCUUUGCAUUGGAUAUGCAGAUUCCGCCCUUCUGACAUCACUGCCUCAUCUCGCCUCAUCGGUGCCUCAUGACACAACCCCUCUCCACAGCACUGAGUCAGCAGCACUGUGUGAUCUCCUCUUGGCCAUGCAAGAUGGUGAAAAGCUGCCCAUAAUGGUGAAAGCAUAGAGGGACCUCUAAACAGGUCCCCAAAGGGAUUAAAAAACUCAUGGUCAUUUUAUGAGAACCCCUCCCAGGAAAUAACAUGUGCUUGGAAAAAUUUACUGUACAGUAACACAGCAGUGUUCUAUGGGAGUGCUCCCACAGCAGAUGGAACAAUAAUUCAUACUGUGUGUUCAAAGAAAGGAGCAAAGAACACUUGCACUUCACUCUGGGAGCUUCAAAAAAGCUGCCAAGCAUAUUUUCCCCUGUAACUAACAGGUACAGGCUGAUUCUGCCUGCUGCACUCUUCUAUAGGCCUGGACUGAAAGAAUAUUUCUUAAAGCAUCCUUGGAAGUGUCCAAGGCCAAGUUGCAGCCUUGCACAUGAAGAGGGGUUUGAAACUAGAUGGUCUUUAAGGUCUUUUCCAGCCCAAACUGUUCUGUGAUUCUGUGAAAGCAUCACACACAUGGAAUGCUAACCCUCUUCCCCCCCUAACAAAGCUGUUUCCUAUUUUGGGAAAAAAAAAAGCCCAGAACAAAACAAUCAAAUGGAAAGAAUCUGAAAUAUUCAUAUAAUGGUUGAAUUACAAGAGGCAAUGUAAAGAGGAGUUUUAUGUUGGAAGAAACUCAGCCACAUGAAAACUAAAAUAUUGGGCCACU